CGUUUAUUUGAUAGUGCCUUACUACUUGGAUAACCGUGGUAAUUCUAGAGCUAAUACAUGCUAAAAACCCCGACUUCGGAAGGGGUGUAUUUAUUAGAUACAAAACCAAUGCCCUUCGGGGCUCCUUGGUGAUUCAUGAUAACUAUACGAAUCGCACGGCCUUGCGCCGGCGAUGGUUCAUUCAAAUUUCUUCCCUAUCAACUUUCGAUGUUUGGGUAUUGGCCAAACAUGGUUGCAACGGGUAACGGAGGGUUAGGGCUCGACCCCGGAGAAGGAGCCUGAGAAACGGCUACUACAUCCAAGGAAGGCAGCAGGCGCGCAAAUUACCCAAUCCCGACUCGGGGAGGUAGUGACAAUAAAUACUGAUACAGGGCCCUUUCGGGCCUUGUAAUUGGAAUGAGUACAAUUUAAAUCCCUUAACGAGGAACAAUUGGAGGGCAAGUCUGGUGCCAGCAGCCGCGGUAAUUCCAGCUCCAAUAGCGUAUAUUAAAGUUGUUGUGGUUAAAAAGCUCGUAGUUGAACCUUGGGCCUGGCUGGCCGGUCCGCCUCACCGCGUGCACUGGUCCGGCCGGGCCUUUCCCUCUGUGGAACCCCAUACCCUUCACUGGGCGUGGCGGGGAAACAGGACAUUUACUUUGAAAAAAUUAGAGUGCUCCAGGCAGGCCUAUGCUCGAAUACAUUAGCAUGGAAUAAUAAAAUAGGACGCGCGGUUCUAUUUUGUUGGUUUAUAGGACCGCCGUAAUGAUUAAUAGGGACAGUCGGGGGCAUCAGUAUUCAACUGUCAGAGGUGAAAUUCUUGGAUCAGUUGAAGACUAACUACUGCGAAAGCAUUUGCCAAGGAUGUUUUCAUUAAUCAGGAACGAAAGUUAGGGGAUCGAAGACGAUCAGAUACCGUCGUAGUCUUAACCAUAAACUAUGCCGACUAGGGAUCGGACGGUGUUAUUCAUGACCCGUUCGGCACCUUACGAGAAAUCAAAGUGCUUGGGCUCCAGGGGGAGUAUGGUCGCAAGGCUGAAACUUAAAGAAAUUGACGGAAGGGCACCACCAGGGGUGGAGCCUGCGGCUUAAUUUGACUCAACACGGGGAAACUCACCAGGUCCAGACACAAUAAGGAUUGACAGAUUGAGAGCUC
rnacentral:rRNA from 1 species